GCUCGGUCACCCGGGAGGAGCUCAGAGUAGAGCCGCUGCUCCUCCACAUCGAGAGGGGUCAGCUGAGGUGGCUUGGGCAUCUGUUUCGGAUGCCUCCGGAACGCCUUCCUGGGAAGGUGUUCCGGUCCCGUCCCUCCGGGAGGAGACCCCGGGGAAGACCUAGGACACGCUGGAGGGACUAUGUCUCCCGGCUGGCCUGGGAACGCCUCGGUGUCCCCCCGGAAGAGCUAGAGGAAGUGUCUGGGGAGAGGGAAGUCUGGGCAUCCCUGCUUAGACUGCUGCCCCCGCGACCCGGCCCCGGAUAAGCGGAAGAAGAUGGUAUGGUAUGGUAUGGAGGUCGUCAAUUACUAAGCUUUACACCCCCAGCAGCAAAUUUACCCUGGCAGCAUAUGGGUGAAAACGCUGGAGAUUUCCAGAGACUCCAGAAAACCGAGCUCUGAGGGAGGAGAACCAAGCCCUGAGGGAAUGCAAUUCACAAGCAGCUUCGGAUGACAGCGGCUCACUUCAAGAGCAGGUGAAGCAAGUAGGGACAAUGUUGAAGACGUUUGCUCUCACUGGACAAUCAGGUGCGUUACCUGAAAGGUAAGAGGGAGCUGAGAGGGACCCACAGACGACCCCUUAAACCUUGGCUGACUACUGGCACCUCAGCAUCACUGAACUGGAACACUUUCUUUAUCCUGCAGUCAGUAACAUCAAGAAGCCAGAAGUGCCAGACUACACUCACCAAAUCCACCCUGUUUUUUUUUUGUAUUUUAACUUUAGUAUUGGCUUAUUUCAUUCCGUCAGUGCUUAACGAUUCUAUUAUAGUUUGUAAAUCCUAUUUCAUACCUGUUACUUGAUAUUGCACAUUAACUAGUACCAAAAUUCUACUUUCAUUCCAUCAGUGUGCUUAACUGUUAUUCUAUUAAUAAUAGCUUGGAAAUACUAUUUCAUACCUCUGAUACUUGAUAUUGCACAUUACCUGGUACCAAAUAUUCUACUUACUCUGUUUUUAACAUCAGCAUUUUUCAUUCUGUCACAGUGCUUAACUGUUAUUCUAUUGUUAAAUAUAGCUUUUAAAUCCUUGUGCCACAGGUCAGCAUUGCAGUUAUAAUGGUCUGUUCUGCUACUGUUUUUACCUCCGUAUUUUUAUAUAAAUAUAUAUGUCAAGUUUUGUUUAUCACAGAUACUAGAGACACAGAUCUUAUUGCAGCACGGUGUAAAUCUUGUGCUCCAGGUCAGCAAUGCCAUUAUAAUGGUCUAUUCUACUCUAGAGCUUUACUCCAAAUUAUUACCACUUUUCCUAUUGUUAGAAAUGGCUUGAAAAUGUGAUGUUAUACCUCGAUUUAUUUGGUAUCCUGCACAUUCUUUGGUAACAAAUGUUUACUGGUAAUUAUUUUCAUCCCAGAGCUGACCUCUUUAUAUUAUUAACAAUUAUUGUGUUUGUGUUAUAAUUUGCUUGUAUGGCUGUUUUUUUUUUUAACCAAAAUUUUAUUGGAAACCUGCAUGUGCUGUAGUGUGUAUUUAUAUGUAUAUUUCAGUGAUCUGACACAUCUUGUUUGAAAGACAGUUACUGUACUUUGAAAUGUGGAAUUAAAACAC
ensembl:lncRNA